AUCUCUGGCUCCUUUGCAUUUGACCGAGAAAUCUUUCGCAUUUUACUAAAGAUUCCCGUGCAAAAAUGCAUUUUAUGAGUGCACACGGAUUAUUGGAAUCCCUCGAAAGAGCGGGAU
rnacentral:snRNA from 1 species